rnacentral:misc_RNA from 1 species
UGGACCAAAUAAACAGAUUUAUCACAAUCCAGAAAAUCAAUCUAACAAUGGAGUCAUAAUUUAUGCUAAAAACACAAACAAAAAACUCAUAACUCAUCAACGUCAUGCCCUUUGAAAGGGUACAAAUUGGGGCCAUUGAUAUAUCAUUGGCAUUCAGAUAUAUAUAAAUUGCAAUAAUUAAUUUGAUGAUGAAAUCUCCAAACAGGUUCAAUAAUAAAUGAAACAACAAAACUCUAGUCACCAGCUGCAUAAUGAACUCAAAAUUUUCAAACAGGGGGAGAAAAGUCAUGAUGUUUAUUUAUUCCCUCUCUUGCUACUAAAAUCAAGCCUUCACCCGCCCAUAGAACUUUGCCUUCUCCUGUGUUGU